rnacentral:lncRNA from 1 species
UACAAGUAGGCAGAGAGACAGGCAGAGAGAGAGAGGAGGAAGCAGACUCCUGCUGAGCAGAGAUCCUGAUGGGGGCUCCAUCCCAGGACCCUGGGAUCAUGACCUGAGCCGAAGCAUGGACUGUGGGCAUGGUGUCCUAUAGAAGUCCUGACAGCAGGUAAAGAUGCCUUAUCCAAGAAUUCAAAAGGAAUCUUUUU